AUUGAACGCUGGCGGCAUGCUUUACACAUGCGAGUCGAACGGCAGCGCGGGCUUCGGCCUGGCGGCGAGUGGCGAACGGGUGAGUAAUACAUCGGAACGUGCCCAGUAGUGGGGGAUAGCUCGGCGAAAGCCGGAUUAAUACCGCAUACGACCUGAGGGUGAAAGCGGGGGAUCUUCGGACCUCGCGCUAUUGGAGCGGCCGAUGGCGGAUUAGCUAGUUGGUGGGGUAAAGGCCUACCAAGGCGACGAUCUGUAGCUGGUCUGAGAGGACGACCGGCCACACUGGGACUGAGACACGGCCCAGACUCCUGCGGGAGGCAGCAGUGGGGAAUUUUGGGCAAUGGGCGAAAGCCUGAUCCAGCAAUGCCGCGUGUGUGAUGAAGGCCUUCGGGUUGUAAAGCACUUUUGGCGGGAACGAAAAGGACUGUGCCAAUACCACGGUUCGAUGACGGUACCCGCAGAAUAAGCACCGGCUAACUACGUG
rnacentral:rRNA from 1 species